GACGAACGCUGGCGGCGUGCCUAAUACAUGCAAGUAGAACGCUGAAGAGAGGAGCUUGCUCUUCUUGGAUGAGUUGCGAACGGGUGAGUAACGCGUAGGUAACCUGCCUUGUAGCGGGGGAUAACUAUUGGAAACGAUAGCUAAUACCGCAUAACAAUGGAUGACACAUGUCAUUUAUUUGAAAGGGGCAAUUGCUCCACUACAAGAUGGACCUGCGUUGUAUUAGCUAGUAGGUGAGGUAACGACUCACCUAGGCGACGAUACAUAGCCGACCUGAGAGGGUGAUCGGCCACACUGGGACUGAGACACGGCCCAGACUCCUACGGGAGGCAGCAGUAGGGAAUCUUCGGCAAUGGGGGCAACCCUGACCGAGCAACGCCGCGUGAGUGAAGAAGGUUUUCGGAUCGUAAAGCUCUGUUGUAAGUCAAGAACGAGUGUGAGAGUGGAAAGUUCACACUGUGACGGUAGCUUACCAGAAAGGGACGGCUAACUACGUGCCAGCAGCCGCGGUAAUACGUAGGUCCCGAGCGUUGUCCGGAUUUAUUGGGCGUAAAGCGAGCGCAGGCGGUUUGAUAAGUCUGAAGUUAAAGGCUGUGGCUCAACCAUAGUUCGCUUUGGAAACUGUCAAACUUGAGUGCAGAAGGGGAGAGUGGAAUUCCAUGUGUAGCGGUGAAAUGCGUAGAUAUAUGGAGGAACACCGGUGGCGAAAGCGGCUCUCUGGUCUGUAACUGACGCUGAGGCUCGAAAGCGUGGGGAGCGAACAGGAUUAGAUACCCUGGUAGUCCACGCCGUAAACGAUGAGUGCUAGGUGUUGGAUCCUUUCCGGGAUUCAGUGCCGCAGCUAACGCAUUAAGCACUCCGCCUGGGGAGUACGACCGCAAGGUUGAAACUCAAAGGAAUUGACGGGGGCCCGCACAAGCGGUGGAGCAUGUGGUUUAAUUCGAAGCAACGCGAAGAACCUUACCAGGUCUUGACAUCCCGAUGCUAUUUCUAGAGAUAGAAAGUUACUUCGGUACAUCGGUGACAGGUGGUGCAUGGUUGUCGUCAGCUCGUGUCGUGAGAUGUUGGGUUAAGUCCCGCAACGAGCGCAACCCCUAUUGUUAGUUGCCAUCAUUCAGUUGGGCACUCUAGCGAGACUGCCGGUAAUAAACCGGAGGAAGGUGGGGAUGACGUCAAAUCAUCAUGCCCCUUAUGACCUGGGCUACACACGUGCUACAAUGGUUGGUACAACGAGUUGCGAGUCGGUGACGGCAAGCUAAUCUCUUAAAGCCAAUCUCAGUUCGGAUUGUAGGCUGCAACUCGCCUACAUGAAGUCGGAAUCGCUAGUAAUCGCGGAUCAGCACGCCGCGGUGAAUACGUUCCCGGGCCU
rnacentral:rRNA from 1 species